AUUGAAGUCAGCAGAAGCCCAGCGUCCGGCUGUUUAAAGCGCUGAGGCGCUGCGAGGAUGAAUGAGAACGAAGUUAUGCCGGUUACCUAUAAUUAUCAGCUUCUUAUCACAGUGUCUGAACAAAAGAUGAAGGCUUUCUAGUGCGUAUUUAGUUAAUGAAAUGUACACACAGCAGUACGUAUUUCACCACUUUUUCUUUUUUUUGGGGGGGUGACAUUUUAAGGGAAGUCGAGCUUCCCUUGCAGUCUUAGAGCAAUCGCCACUGGUAUUGAAUUAUUUUGGUCUCAGUCAUGUUGUUUGUUACUUGUGUUGCUUCAGUUCUUAUGAUGUCAGGUCCAGAUGUUGCUCGAGUAUUCCUGAUUCUGUGGGUUCUCCAACUGUGGGGUCCUUGUGCUGAUAAUGUGCAUGAAUAUGUUAUUAUUAUUAUUAUUAUUAUUAUUAUUAUUAUUAUUAUUGUUCUUGGAUUUUUGUCACUGAUUUAAUGUCUGUUCAUAUUUGUAGACUUUGACUGUUCGGUGAUGAGAGUGUGACAGCAUCCUCGGAUUAAUGAUGAUGAUGAACUGAUGAAGGAUGAUCAGCUGCAGUGUCUCUCUUUGUAUUUCUGCUACAGGUGAAAUAGGAAGUGGAUCUAGAUUCACCUGGUGAGUAUUUUCUUCAUUCUGUCAAACAUCAAACUAAAAGUUUUCACAUAUCUUCAUUUGGAACAGGACUGGACUCUAAAUGGAUCCAGAUGAGCUCUCUACUGUAGUAAACAGGAAUAGCUGUGGCUCUAUCUGGUGGUAGAAUCUGGAAUGACACUGUGGUAGAGGACAGGAUGUGGCUCAGGUUUUACUGACUGAGCAUGUUGUUAUGUUUGUGUGAAGGUUGGGGCUCUGCUAUGAAUCAGUGUGAGGACAGAGAGGAGGAAGCCCCUCCAUCGAAAACCACUCUGUGGGGGGAACACAGGAGCCAGACCAAAGUUCAAAGGUGAGAUGAGGAUCUCCAACUGUCCAUGACUCCUCUCCAUGUCAGAGCUCAGCACUCACAUCACUCCACCAUCACUAUUAUUCACACUCAGACCUCUGUCUAUCUGUCCGUCUGUCUUUUGUCUGUCGUCAAAAGUAAUCAUCUAUAACAGCAGCACUCAAACCUGGAUGAUUUUCAGUGUUCUCGUUUCUUCAUCCGCGUUUGUGUUUCUGUCAGAGUCAAACGUGAGAGACCAGACUCUCCUGGACCUGGACCUCGACCCAGUGAUCCGUCUAUGCCUGACCAUCUUAAUUUCAAAGAAGGAGACAUAUGUGAUGAGCAAAGGUGAGCCUUUCAAACUGAACUUUCUUUUGCUGUGUGUGAAACUUCUCAUCCUAACUGUAGUCAGUGUUUUUUCUGUGAAGGUGAAGAUUUUUCAGGGUUUUUUUUUUUUUAUUAUCAGAAUCCAACAGCAGUAAACAGGAUCUGAGCCAGAAAGAACUGGACUCUGCAUGUAUCUUCAUGUGUGUCCAGUGUUUGUAG